UCUUCAUUCAAAUUUUCAUAUUCGGCCUUUACGAAAAUCAAAUAUGAAAGAAUUAAGAAAAAAUAAAUAUAUUAUGAAUAAUUAAUAAAUGAUCACUCACCAUCAUAGUUUUUCCUCUAUCGUUUAACGACGUAUGAGUUGACAAGAAUGCCUCUUGAAAUGACGGUUUUCGACCUAAUUUGAGACUCUAUACGAAAAAAUCUAGUUAAAAUAAUUCAUAAAAUAUUUAAAUUGAAAUGAAUUUAAAAUAUAAACUUACUAAUGCAUGAGAGUUGGCUUCAAAAGAAGCCGAUCCACCCUUAUACACCAAAUAAUCGUCGUUUCUAGUUCGAUUUGCUGAAUUCUUUUUUGAUUUUUCUACGAACUCUGGUGCCAAAAACUUGUCCGUCAUUAGUCCCCAUUUUUCUUU
rnacentral:lncRNA from 1 species